rnacentral:rRNA from 1 species
AUUGAACGCUGGCGGCAGGCCUAACACAUGCAAGUCGAACGGUAACAGGCCGAAGCUUGCUUCUUUGCUGACGAGUGGCGGAUGGGUGAGGAAUGUCCGGCAAACUGCCCGAUGGAGGGGGAUAACUACUGGAACCGGUAGCUAAUACCGCAUAACUCCGCAAUACCAAGGAGGGGGACCUUCGGGCCUCUUGCCAUCGGAUGUGCCCAGAUGGGAUUAGCUAGUAGGUGGGGUAACGGCACACCUAGGCGGCGAUCCCUAGCUGAUCUGAGAGGCGGACAGGCCGCACGAGAACUGGAACGGGGACCAGACUACUACGAGAGGCAGCAGUGGGGAAUGUUGCGCAAUGGGCGGGAGCAUGAUGCAGCCAUGGCGAGUGUGUGGCAGAGGCCUUCGGGUUGUAAAGAACGUCCAGCGGGGAGGAACCGAGUUAAGUAGAUACCUAGGCUCAUUGACGGUACCCACAGAAGAAGCACCGGCUAACUCCGUG